GAUGAACGCUGGCGGCGUGCCUAAUACAUGCAAGUCGAGCGAACGGACGCGAAGCUUGCUUCUCUGAUGUUAGCGGCGGACGGGAGAGUAACACGUGUAUAACCUACCUAUAAGACUGGGAUCACUUCGGGAAACCGGAGCUAAUACCGGAUGAUCUUUUGAACCGCAUGGUUCAAAAGUGAAAGACGGUCUUGCUGUCACUUAUCGAUGGAUCCGCGCUGCAUUAGCUAGUUGGUAAGGUAACGGCUUACCAAGGCAACGAUGCGUAGCCGACCUGAGAGGGUGAUCGGCCACACUGGAACUGAGACACGGUCCAGACUCCUACGGGAGGCAGCAGUAGGGAAUCUUCCGCAAUGGGCGAAAGCCUGGCGGAGCGACGCCACGUGAGUGAUGAAGGUCUUCGGAUCGUAAAACUCUGUUAUGAGGGAAGAACAUAUGUGUAAGUAACUGUGCACAUCUUGACGGUACCUAAUCAGAAAGCCACGGCUAACUACGUG
rnacentral:rRNA from 1 species